rnacentral:rRNA from 1 species
UACGAGGGGGGGCGAGCGUUGUUCGGAAUUAUUGGGCGUAAAGGGUGCGUAGGCGGUUUGGUAAGUCUUGUGUGAAAUCUCCAGGCUCAACUUGGAGUCUGCACGAGAAACUGCCGGGCUUGAGUGUGGGAGAGGUGAGUGGAAUUCCUGGUGUAGCGGUGAAAUGCGUAGAUAUCAGGAGGAACACCUGUGGCGAAAAGCGGCUCACUGGACCACAACUGACGCUGAUGCACGAAAAGCUAGGGGGAGCAAACAGG